rnacentral:tRNA from 1 species
AAAACUUUAAGUUAAUAUUUAAAACUAAUAAUCUUCAAAAUUAUAAAUAAAUUUUUAUUUAAGUUUUA